CAUAUCACAUGUACUUUUAGUACAAAUCAGAAGGAUAAAGCAAUAUAGCUGCCGCCCUGAGCCGUGUAUAAGCAUUUACGUACGCUGUUGUUAUAUUACAUCGACAGAUUGAUUUAAUAAAAGGAACACUUGUUUUCAUAACUUUUUUAUCUGAAUGCUUUCUAUAUGCAAUAAGAAGACAGGAAUGACAAAAAAUAUAGAAAAUCCUGUAAUUUUGCCACAGAUAUCAGAAAAUGAAGUACAGAAUUUAGAAAAGUCUUCAAGGAAAGGCGAACCCAAUCUAUUUGAAACUGUUAACAGCACACCUGCUCAAAAUAAAAUUAAUUGGCAUUUUGUCAUUAUGUUCGCUACUAUUCAUAUAUUUGGACUGGCUGGAAUUUUUAUGUUUGAUUCUCUAA
rnacentral:lncRNA from 1 species